UGAAACACGGACCAAGGAGUCUAGCGUAUACGCGAGUCAUUGGGUGGAAAACCCAUAGGCGUAAUGAAAGUGAAGGUCUCUUUCUGAGGCUGAUAUGCGAUCCGUUGCACUACGGUGUAGCGGAGCAGCAUAGCCCCAUCUCGACUGCUUGCAGUGGGGUGGAGGUAGAGCGUAUUCGCUGGUACCCGAAAGAUGGUGAACUAUGCCUGAGCAGGAUGAAGCCAGAGGAAACUCUGGUGGAGGUCCGAAGCGCUUCUGACGUGCAAAUCGAUCGUCUGACUUGGGUAUAGGGGCGAAAGACUAAUCGAACCAUCUAGUAGCUGGUUCCCUCCGAAGUUUCCCCCAGGAUAGCUGGAGCCUGAUAAAUUAGUUAUACUCGGUAAAGCGAACGAUUAGAGGACUUGGGGUCAAAAGACCUUAACCUAUUCUCAAACUCUCAAUGGGUAUGAAGUAUUAGUUGCUUGAUUGAACUAGUACGUUGAAUAUAGGCUCCAAGUGGGCCAUUUUUGGUAAGCA
rnacentral:rRNA from 1 species